GUUGAACGCUGGCGGCAGGCCUAACACAUGCAAGUCGAGCGGAUGAAGGGAGCUUGCUCCUGGAUUCAGCGGCGGACGGGUGAGUAAUGCCUAGGAAUCUGCCUGGUAGUGGGGGAUAACGUCCGGAAACGGGCGCUAAUGCCGCAUACGUCCUGAGGGAGAAAGUGGGGGAUCUUCGGACCUCACGCUAUCAGAUGAGCCUAGGUCGGAUUAGCUAGUUGGUGGGGUAAAGGCCUACCAAGGCGACGAUCCGUAACUGGUCUGAGAGGAUGAUCAGUCACACUGGAACUGAGACACGGUCCAGACUCCUACGGGAGGCAGCAGUGGGGAAUAUUGGACAAUGGGCGAAAGCCUGAUCCAGCCAUGCCGCGUGUGUGAAGAAGGUCUUCGGAUUGUAAAGCACUUUAAGUUGGGAGGAAGGGCAGUAAGUUAAUACCUUGCUGUUUUGACGUUACCAACAGAAUAAGCACCGGCUAACUUCGUG
rnacentral:rRNA from 1 species